AGGUUAAAACAUUUAAUGUUGGGUUUGAACUUCGAGUAAGUUCCCCCCAACCCUUUUGAGGACGCAUUUUAUACAAAUUUAUAUCAUUAGAACACAAAACACAUUCUUUCUUCUGAGAAAACAAAGGAAAAAGCAUCUCUGUAUCCUCAGAAACUUUUUUAACUAUUACGUUGGCUACUUAAUAGACACUUUGUUUCCACGAUAAAAGUUCUUUUCCAAAGGUCUUCACCUGUGCCAUUAACACAAACUCCAGCCCAAACCUUCCUUUGGGAAGCCUCAGCCCAGGGGCCACCUUUGUUCACACCUCUGGAUCCAGCUUGAUCUUUCUCCCAGCUCUCACACUCUCAAUAGAGCUUUGCUUAGCUGUCAAUCACUUUCAUUACCGUUUAUCUGCUCUCAGGACAGGUAAAAGAAGCAUCUCCAUCCUGCGCUGCAAAACAUUUUGACAAGACAGUUUUCCAGCAAUUCUCAUCUUUGUGGAUAUCAGCAAACAGCUCUGAGGGAUUUUUACAGCCACCUGAGGCAAAAACAAGGGUAGCAAGUCCACCAAAACUCUGGUGAUUGCGUACAAACAGACAAGCAGGAAUCUCACUAAGCGAAUGAAGCACAUUUUGCCUGUUACACCCGAUGAAACCAGUUACAAGUACGUAGAGAUAACAAGCGUGGGGUUUCGCCCUGCCAGAAGGCUCCAAUACCUGGCACAGAGAGCAAGCCCCGCCAGGACAUACCUGGCACCUCACUUCACAAGUCUGCCUGGCAAAAGGCACCGGAAAAUGACUCUGCUAUUGGCACCACAGGCCCUGUCCCACCGCUUCACCCAACACUAGACGUGCUUAACAGCAACGGCAGCACCCGAGAGCCUGCGGGGCUCCUGCAGGCACCCUCGGAGCGCCUACCAACACCUCCAAAGCAGCUUUGCAGGCAGGGAACGCACCGACCCGGGAUUCUCUGCAGAGCAGCGCCUCCCUGUCCCCCCUCUCGCUGCCCACGGCCCUCAGCACCCCGCUAACCCGAAGGCGAGGGGCCCAAGCAACAAUCCCCCGCGCUGACCGAGCGCACCCGCACCACCGACCCCCUUACGCGGUAUCCCACCGGGUCCGGCCGCGGGGACGCCGCUGAGGGCCCGGUGGAGCAGCGCGGCC
rnacentral:lncRNA from 1 species